rnacentral:rRNA from 1 species
UACGUAGGGUGCAAGCGUUAAUCGGAAUUACUGGGCGUAAAGCGUGCGCAGGCGGCUAUGUAAGACAGGUGUGAAAUCCCCGGGCUUAACCUGGGAACUGCAUUUGUGACUGCAUAGCUAGAGUCUGUCAGAGGGGGGUGGAAUUCCACGUGUAGCAGUGAAAUGCGUAGAGAUGUGGAGGAAUACCGAUGGCGAAGGCAGCCCCCUGGGAUAACACUGACGCUCAUGCACGAAAGCGUGGGGAGCAAACAGG